UGAUCAUAGCACAGUUAUUGAGGUCGCUGAUAAAAAAAAUGAAGUCAUCUGAGGCCAAGAACAAAUCCUUGAAGGCCCCAGUAAAAUUUUUCCUAUUUGAUGCAGAUUCUACAGUUUCAGGCUGAGGUCUGUCAGUUACCUAGUUCUCAAUAGCUUUAAUCAGUUAUUUUUGUGUCCUGUUUCUUAAGCAGAAAGUCAUACAGGUCUAGGUCAAAUGACGUGCAGAAGUCUAAG
rnacentral:lncRNA from 1 species